rnacentral:rRNA from 1 species
GACGAACGCUGGCGGCGUGGAUUAGGCAUGCAAGUCGGACGGUAUCAUCCUUUCGGGGGUGAGAGAGUGGCGAACUGGUGAGUAACACGUAGGUUAUCUACCCUCAAGACGGGGACAACCCAGGGAAACUUGGGCUAAUACCGGAUGUGAGCAACUUUUAGUUGUUUGAAAGGUGGCGUAAGCUGUCGCUUGGGGAUGAGCCUGCGUCCUAUUAGUUAGUUGGUGAGGUAACGGCUCACCUAGGCAAUGAUAGGUAGGCGGCCUUAACGGGUGGUCGCCCACACUGGGAUUGAGAUACGGCCCAGACUCCUACGGGAGGCAGCAGUCGAGAAUAGUCUACAAUGGUCGGAAGACUGAUAGUGCGACGCCGCGUGAACGAUGAAUCCCUUCGGGGUGUAAAGUUCUUUUAUAUGUGAGCAGUGCUUCUUAUAUUAACAGUAUGGGGAGAGAGAUAUUAGCAUAUGAAUAAGCAACGGCUAACUCCGUGCCAGCAGCCGCGGUAAUA